UACGGAGGGUGCAAGCGUUAUCCGGAUUCACUGGGUUUAAAGGGUGCGUAGGUGGGCUAGUAAGUCAGUGGUGAAAUCUCCGGGCUUAACCCGGAAACUGCCAUUGAUACUAUUAGUCUUGAAUACCAUGGAGGUGAGCGGAAUAUGUCAUGUAGCGGUGAAAUGCUUAGAUAUGACAUAGAACACCAAUUGCGAAGGCAGCUCGCUGCGCGGUUAUUGACACUGAGGCACGAAAGCGUGGGGAUCAAACAGG
rnacentral:rRNA from 1 species